rnacentral:rRNA from 1 species
AUUGAACGCUGGCGGAAUGCUUUACACAUGCAAGUCGAACGGUAGAGGGGGCAACCCCUCGAGAGUGGCGAACGGGUGAGUAAUAUAUCGGAACGUGCCCAGUCGUGGGGGAUAACGUAGCGAAAGUUACGCUAAUACCGCAUACGAUCUAAGGAUGAAAGCGGGGGAUCGCAAGACCUCGCGCGAUUGGAGCGGCCGAUAUCAGAUUAGGUAGUUGGUGGGGUAAAGGCUCACCAAGCCAACGAUCUGUAGCUGGUCUGAGAGGACGACCAGCCACACUGGAACUGAGACACGGUCCAGACUCCUACGGGAGGCAGCAGUGGGGAAUCUUGGACAAUGGGCGAAAGCCUGAUCCAGCCAUUCCGCGUGCAGGAUGAAGGCCCUCGGGUUGUAAACUGCUUUUGUACAGAACGAAAAGGUUUCUACUAAUACUAGGAGCUCAUGACGGUACUGUAAGAAUAAGCACCGGCUAACUACGUGCCAGCAGCCGCCGUAA